rnacentral:tRNA from 1 species
GGGGUCGUAGCGAAGCCAGGCAUCGCAACGGGCUCCAGACCCGUGGAUCGAGGGUUCAAAUGUUGUGAGUCAAUCAGCAACAGAAUAAAUCCCUUCGGCCCCA